CCCAGACUCCUACGGGAGGCAGCAGUGGGGAAUAUUGCACAAUGGGCGAAAGCCUGAUGCAGCGACGCCGCGGGGAGGAAGAAGGUCUUCGGAUUGUAAACUCCUGUCCUUGGGGACGAUAAUGACGGUACCCAAGGAGGAAGCACCGGCUAACUCCGUGCCAGCAGCCGCGGUAAUACGGAGGGUGCGAGCGUUAAUCGGAAUUACUGGGCGUAAAGCGCUCGUAGGCGGUAUGUCAAGUCAAGGGUGAAAUCCCCGCGCUCAACGUGGGAACUGCCUUUGAAACUGGCAAACUGGAGUGUGUGAGAGGAUAGUGGAAUUCCAGGUGUAGGAGUGAAAUCCGUAGAUAUCUGGAGGAACAUCAGUGGCGAAGGCGACUAUCUGGCACAUAACUGACGCUGAGGAGCGAAAGCGUGGGUAGCAAACAGGAUUAGAUACCCCUGUA
rnacentral:rRNA from 1 species